GUCCACGCCCUAAACGAUGUCAACUGGUUGUUGGGGGAGUGAAAUCCCUUAGUAACGAAGCUAACGCGUGAAGUUGACCGCCUGGGGAGUACGGUCGCAAGAUUAAAACUCAAAGGAAUUGACGGGGACCCGCACAAGCGGUGGAUGAUGUGGAUUAAUUCGAUGCAACGCGAAAACCUUACCUACCCUUGACAUGUCCAGAAUCCUGCAGAGAUGCGGGAGUGCCCGAAAGGGAAUUGGAACACAGGUGCUGCAUGGCUGUCGU
rnacentral:rRNA from 1 species